rnacentral:rRNA from 1 species
GCGUGGACGCCAGUCUGCGUGGAGCCGACCUUGAAAUACCACCCUUUAAUGUUUGAUGUUCUAACGUGGACCCGUGAUCCGGGUUGCGGACAGUGUCUGGUGGGUAGUUUGACUGGGGCGGUCUCCUCCUAAAGAGUAACGGAGGAGCACGAAGGUUGGCUAAUCCUGGUCGGACAUCAGGAGGUUAGUGCAAUGGCAUAAGCCAGCUUGACUGCGAGCGUGACGGCGCGAGCAGGUGCGAAAGCAGGUCAUAGUGAUCCGGUGGUUCUGAAUGGAAGGGCCAUCGCUCAACGGAUAAAAGGUACUCCGGGGAUAACAGGCUGAUACCGCCCAAGAGUUCAUAUCGACGGCGGUGUUUGGCACCUCGAUGUCGGCUCAUCACAUCCUGGGGCUGAAGUAGGUCCCAAGGGUAUGGCUGUUCGCCAUUUAAAGUGGUACGCGAGCUGGGUUUAGAACGUCGUGAGACAGUUCGGUCCCUAUCUGCCGUGGGCGCUGGAGAACUGAGGGGGGCUGCUCCUAGUACGAGAGGACCGGAGUGGACGCAUCACUGGUGUUCGGGUUGUCAUGCCAAUGGCACUGCCCGGUAGCUAAAUGCGGAAGAGAUAAGUGCUGAAAGCAUCUAAGCACGAAACUUGCCCCGA